UACGUAGGGUGCGAGCGUUGUCCGGAAUUAUUGGGCGUAAAGAGCUCGUAGGCGGUGUGUCACGUCGUUCGUGAAAACCUGCAGCUUAACUGUGGGCGUGCGGUCGAUACGGGCAUCACUGGAGUUCGGCAGGGGAGACUGGAAUUCCUGGUGUAGCGGUGAAAUGCGCAGAUAUCAGGAGGAACACCGAUGGCGAAGGCAGAUCUCUGGGCCGUAACUGACGCUGGAGGCACGAAAGCGUGGGGAUCAAACAGG
rnacentral:rRNA from 1 species